rnacentral:rRNA from 1 species
AAGUAUGGUUGCAAAGCUGAAACUUAAAGGAAUUGACGGAAGGGCACCACCAGGAGUGGAGCUUGCGGCUUAAUUUGACUCAACACGGGAAAUCUCACCCGGCCAGUACAUCAUAAGGAUUGACAGAUUGAAAGCUCUUUCAUGAUUUGAUGAAUGGUGGUGCAUGGCCGUUCUUAGUUCGUGGUGUGAACUGUCUGCUUAAUUGCGAUAACGAGCGAGACUCCGACUAUUAAAUAGCGAGUGGUUUAUUUUGACCAUCACGUUUCUUAAUGGGAUUCGCGGCUUCAAGUCGCAAGAAAUGGAGCAAUAACAGGUCUGUGAUGCCCUUAGAUGUUCGGGGCGGCACGCGUGCUACAAUGGUGGUAACAGCGUGAUUGUCCUCGCCCGACAGGGCUUGGCAAACAGUUGAGAUAAUWUKAUGGCUGGAAUAGAGUGUUGAA